rnacentral:rRNA from 1 species
UGAAAGAUGGACUGCUCAGUAUACUCACUUUAUUUGAUGUACAUUAUACAUAACUACGUUAAAGUGUAGCUAACAUAUGUACAGUAAGAGUGAGACCUAUCAGCUAGUUGUUAAGGUAAUGGCUUAACAAGGCAAUAACGGGUAACGGUAUUACUUUGUAAUAUUCCGGAGAAGGAGCCUGAGAGACGGCUACUAAGUCUAAGGAUUGCAGCAGGGGCGAAACUUGACCUAUGGAUAUUAUCUGAGGCAGUAAUGGGAA